CAACAAAAUGGUGAGACAAAGGGCAAAGGGGGACCUAGGCAGCAGCGAUACUCACAGGACAAUCAGUUGGAAAUGACCUGU